UCUUAUGGGGACACCAGUCAUAUCAGAUUAAGAGCCCACCUUUGUGACCUCAUUUAGCCUUAAUACUUUCUUAAAGGCGCUAAUCCUUAUGUAGUUGCAUUGGGAGGUUAGGACUUCAUCAUAUGAAUUUCGGGGGAACACUGUCUGUUCUGUAACAGGUUAUAUCCUGGAUGAUAGAAACUCACCUUUUCUUUUCCCUAAAGUUGUGGCUUACAUCAAGUUCCAGGGAGCGUACCUUAUACCAAAGGACCCAAUGGGUGCCCCCAAACUGUUCUCGGCUCAUGGCCUGGAUUCUGCCAGUGACCUGAAUGAGCUCCAAGUUGGAUCAUUCCCAGAGUCCCCAAGGAAGAGGCCAGCCCGGCCAGCAUGUUGAUUUCAGCUUAGUGGGAGACCUCGAGCAGAGGACCCAAUUG